GUGCUCACUUGGACAGCACAUAUACUAAAAUUGGAAAGAUACAGAAAUUAGCAUGGCCCCUGCACAAGGAUAACACGUAAAAUCAUGAAGUGUUCCAUAUUUUU